CUGAAAGUAACACGAGUAUAUGGCAGUCAAGGCAGUGGAAAACAGAUUGGGAGUUGUUACAAAGAAAAUCCCGUGGCAUAUUAGAGCAGCACCGGGAGUAUUAUCCAUCGCCGUAGGAAGCCAUGGCGAUGGAAAAGGAACAACUACACAAGAAGGACCAAAUCACAAAAGACCGUUUCUAUGAUGAACAGUUAACACCAGUCCAGUGCCAGGAACAAUGUCUGUGAAGCAACCCUGUAACACUGCACUCAACUUACAGAUGGAAAUACUUCCGAAUCAGAUCCUCUUCUGUGGGGCUGUCCGAUGCUGACCCUGACAAACAAAGGGAGAAAAAGAUAAAGAGACAGCAUUUUUCAGCAAGAACAGGCUGCAGCACAUUAUCCAGUCUGCAGAGAAGACCUUCAGCUGCAAUCUGCCAUCUCUUGUGGACCUGUACACAUUGGGCCUAAUUCUGCAAACAAAUUUAGAACUUCCUCAGACCAUGCGUAUGCAGGAAUUAUGACAGCCUGGCUGUCUUACAAAAUAUUAACACGUGCCUUUUAACUAAAUGUAAAGCAUAUCAA